GACGAACGCUGGCGGCGUGCUUAACACAUGCAAGUCGAACGGAAAGGCCCUGAUUUUGUGGGGUGCUCGAGUGGCGAACGGGUGAGUAACACGUGAGUAACCUGCCCUUGACUUUGGGAUAACUUCAGGAAACUGGGGCUAAUAUCGGAUAGGAGAUCCUGCUGCAUGGUGGGGGUUGGAAAGUUUCGGCGGUUGGGGAUGGAAUCGCGGCUUAUCAGCUUGUUGGUGGGGUAGUGGCUUACCAGGGGUUUGACGGGUAGCCGGCCUGAGAGGGUGACCGGCCACAUGGGGACUGAGGGAGGGCGCAGACGCCUACGGGAAGCAGCAGUGGGGAAUAUUGCACAGUGAGCGGAAGCCUGUGGCAGCAGCGCCGCGUUCGGGAUGACGGCCUUCGGGGUGUGAACCGCUUUCGCCUGUGACGAGGCGUGAGUGACGGUACUUGGUAAAGAAGCACCGGCUAACUACGUG
rnacentral:rRNA from 1 species